rnacentral:lncRNA from 10 species
GGGAACAGAUGGCAACAGAGAGGAUCAAGCAAAGCACUGUGGGACCAACUGACCAGAGGUACCCCAUGCACCAAACCACAGAGCAGCAUGUCUGCAGCUACAGAAGAAUGAAGUGCCUGUUGUCUCGCAAAGUUCUUCAGUAGGAUUUGGAGACUAAGUCUUGCUCUUUUGCCCAGGCUGGAGUGCAGUGGCGUGAUCGUGGCUCACUGCAACCUCCACCACCCGGACUCAAGCGACUCUCGUGCCUCAGCCACCCAAGUAGCUGGGAUUACACGUGUGUGCCACUAUGCAUGGCUAAUUUUUGUAUUUUUAGUAGAGACAGGGUUUCAACAUGUUGCCCAGGCUGGUUUCAAACUCCUGACCUCAAGUGAUCAGUCCGCCUCAGCCUCCCAAAAUGCUGGAAUUACAGGGAUGAGCUAG